CAACCGGUAGCUUAAUAAAAGCAUAUUAUUUACACUAAUAAAAUACUUGAUAGGGCAAGUCCGGAUGA
rnacentral:tRNA from 1 species